rnacentral:rRNA from 1 species
CCUACGGGGUGCUGCAGUGAGGAAUAUUGGUCAAUGGGCGGAAGCCUGAACCAGCCAAGUAGCGUGCAGGAUGACGGCCCUACGGGUUGCAAACUGCUUUUAUACGGGAAUAACGCGCCUUACGUGUAGGGCUUUGCAUGUACCGUAUGAAUAAGGACCGGCUAAUUCCGUGCCAGCAGCCGCGGUAAUACGGAAGGUCCGGGCGUUAUCCGGAUUUAUUGGGUUUAAAGGGAGCGUAGGCCGCAUGUCAAGCGUGCUGUGAAAUGUCCGGGCUCAACCCGGGCCUUGCAGCGCGAACUGGCGUGCUUGAGUCCGCGGAAAGCAGGCGGAAUUCGUCGUGUAGCGGUGAAAUGCUUAGAUAUGACGAAGAACCCCGAUUGCGAAGGCAGCUUGCCGGCUCCACACUGACGCUGAGGCACGAAAGCGUGGGUAUCGAACAGGAUUAGAUACCUGAGUAGUC